GUUAAUAUAGGAUCCAAUCUUUAUUUUAUUUGGGUGGGUAGAUUAUCUUUUGGUAGUUUUAUAUUUGAUGAAUUUCCUAGAUUAUUUAGUUUCGUAUUUUAAUUGGGUUUCCAUUUUUAUGUAAAGGGUGUUCCUUCUUUAAAUUUUCUGCCACAGGAUGGAGAAUUUAGAUUUGAAUUGAUUGAAUUAUUGAGUUGAGUUUUACCCUUGCUGGGUAUGGUGUAGUGUUGGCUGCUGGCCCUUGUAUUUUCUCUCUUUUUUUCCCUCUCUCCUUCCUUCCCUGCUAUCUCUCUUUCCUUAUUUUGUCUUUCUUCUUGUGGUUCCUUUCUUACCUGAGUAUCGUGAACUUACUUCCCAUCCCUUGUUUUGUCUGUGCUGAUAACUCAGAAAGAUUGGGGAUUGAUCUCCCUUCCCUGAUCACUUUUCUACUUGAGAUUUUGCAACAAAGUUCAUCUCUUGGGGCUGAUUCAAACUGCCAAGCUCGAGAUUGAAAGCUUGUGUGUGCUGUGAGCUUCAUUGUGAAGAUUAGAUCUGACCUGAUCUUCCGCCAGAUGUGGUUUCAGCAGCUUGUUUUCAAACUCCAGCUUCCCUGCUCAAAGGUUAGUUGCUUGGGGUUCAUAGGGCUAGGGAACACCUAGCUUGUCCAAGAAUUUCAGGUCGAUCCAAGAGUAUUUGAAGGAGUUCUCUCCAUCGUAGAACCCCUCAUUUCUGCCUCUGGUUUGCACUGGAGCCUGGAGAUAGGACACAAUACCCCUAUUUCACUUCUUUUAUUUCUAAUUUCUUACUUUCCUUCAAUGCCCCUCCCCUUUCUCCCAUAUUCUCUAUUGUCCUAUUUUUACUUUUAGUUCUUUACCCUUUCUACUAGCAAGUUAUAAUCCUUGCUCUUGUUUUGGAGUUCUAGCAAAUUACUGUUCUGCCCAUCCCCUUAUGAACUUCAACUUAUUCACAGAAUUGCCACCCUCUUUGUAAACAUUAAUCUAUCAACUGUUUUGUCACUUAAUCUUGUAAUUGAGUGUUUCUUUGUUUGGGUGGGCCCUCAAGCGUUCCAAUGAGGGUUAUUCUGACCCAGAUUGCACCGUUGGCAUUUUCAGGAAUCUGUUAGAUGCACUUUUACCUGGUCUAGUGAAUGCCAGAUAUCCUUUUUGAAGCCUUGUACUCCUUCCUUAAAUGGAUGCAUGCUAGAGCUAUAGUCUACUAUGAAAUAGUAUAAAUAGAACUAUAUAAGAUUUCAUUGUUUGGCAACAGGAGUUUAUGGAGUUUGUUAUGCAUCUCCGCAGAAGACCGGAAGAUGUAUUUUCCAUAAUUGAAAUGGAUUAUAUUAUCUUCUUGAGGACAUAGUUUAUGAUUAUGAUGCUAAGGUCCUUGAGGAAAAAGUCAUUGCUUCAUGCAACCACCACUUCAGUUGUUUUGGAUAAUAAAGACUACCUUUCUAGUUGGAUCAAUUUGUUUGUUCUUUUGCUUCCCAGUUCUAUGAAUUUAGUCUGAAAAUUAUAUUCUUAGACAUUUAAAAUGUACAUUAUACUGCUUCUGGUCCAGGUUCCACCCCCAUUGUAUAGAUCUUACUCCAGAGGAAGCGAAAAGACUUGAACACUUCUUCUGUCAAGGUUGCUCCUCUGAAGAUCAGAAGAAGCUGAACAGCUCUCACAAUGCUUCUAGACACCCAGAAACAAAGGUGGAUACCAAACGCCGAAGGAGGUGAUAUGGUUACCUUUACAUACAUAUGCAGCAAGAUAGAGAUAUUCUUGAGUAAUCUUGCUCUCUCUCUCUCUCUCUCUCUCUCUCGGAGGCUUUUAGGCAAACAGAAAUUUAGAGAAACUUAUCGUUAGCAGCAUAUUAUGGGAAUGAGGCUGGUUCACAUACUGUCAUAUCUAAUUUGGUCUGGGUGUUUGUAAAGCCACACCUUUCCCAUGGAAGUUCAAGGAGGUUCUUGUUGGUCUGUAAAUAGGUAUCAUAACUCUCCUGUUUUCUGGGUUUCUGUGUCCCGUCUCAAGUUCUUCUAUAUAUAUCAUCCCAACCCAUAAGAUGCAAGACUAUUUCAGAUGUUUCUUUAUUCAUGGCGUUCUCUUUUACUCUCCAACUCCUGCCAUAUUUUUAUUGGAUUGUGUCGAAAUGAAUGGGUUUCCCCCUUGUUGAGGCAUACAUAACAUUUAAAGGACAUAACAUUUAAAGGGAAGGGACUUCUCUGA